CACUUACCAUGUGUCCAAUGUUCUAUUUGGCAUCAUCGAUGUAAAGAUAAAUAAGAGUUAAUCUUGCCCUUGGGAGAUUGCUUUCUUGCAGGGAUGAUAUAUAGAUGCACAGAGCUAAAUAACAUGUGAAAUGCCACAGUAAGUUUAUUAAUUAUAUAUUGGAGAUCGUGGAAGAAGGAACUAGUAACAUUGCUUAGGGACAGAUAUAGGGGAGGAGGGAGGCCUCAAUGAAGGGCUGUCAUUUCAGUUAAGCUUUUAUGUGUAAGAAGGAUUUAAGCAAGUCAAACGGUGACUCUCAGGACCUAUAAGGAAGCAAUUGGAAUGGGGGCAAGGAGGGGCAGUUCAAUUUUGGGUGAUUAUACCACUUUUAUACAUGUUGCAAACUAUUACUCUGGCCCUUCACAAACUUAUGUCUUAACUUCUCUCAGGCAGACAUUCAUCAACUAGUCUUUCUUACUUCUAGUUGUAGGAUUAUCUGCUUUUUCCCAGUCAUAAUGCAGACCUUUCUGAUGAGGACUUUGAGGAAUGCUGAAGGCCUGAAACAAGUGAACAGAACUUUGCUCCAUUGAUGUGCAGAGAUUUUUCUGCUGGACUCCUGGACUCUCAUAAAGCACCUACUUACAAAGAACCCUGCAAACAAGAAACACCAGUCUCAUACUCUCCUAUCCUGAAAGUUGAAGCCAAUAGAAGUAGCUUCACUCGGCAUACAGCAAAAGAAUAGCUGACUUGGGAAAGAGCUUAAAUGUCUAUGUGUUUUCCUAGGUUUUCCUGAGGUGUUUUGCCCUAGUGUCAGUGAACACCAUGUGAUGGCAACUGUGGGUGAUUUGGGAUUUAGAGACCUGAAUUCUAGCCUUUGUUCUGCCUGUUUCUAGCUGUGUGACUCUAUGGAAUUCAAUGUUAGUUUAUUUGCAAAAUAAAGAUUUAUGAACAUUA